UGCCAGCAGCCGCGGUAAUACGUAGGGUGCGGGCGUUAAUCGGAAUUACUGGGCGUAAAGCGGGCGCAGACGGUUACUUAAGCAAGAUGUGAAAUCCCCGAGCUUAACUUGGGAACUGCGUUUUGAACUGGGUAGCUAGAGUGUGUCAGAGGGGGGUAGAAUUCCACGUGUAGCAGUGAAAUGCGUAGAGAUGUGGAGGAAUACCGAUGGCGAAGGCAGCCCCCUGGGAUAACACUGACGUUCAUGCCCGAAAGCGUGGGUAGCAAACAGGAUUAGAUA
rnacentral:rRNA from 1 species